UCCCACAUGCGCGGGUGCCCCCCUCCUGCGCCGAGGAGGGGGCCUACCCCCUCCAGCUCCUCUCUCCUGCUUCUUAGAUACAGGGAAUCAAAGAGUCUGACGGGACUUUAAAAGAUCCGCAUCAGCUGGUCAUCGGGACACAGGCCUGGGGAAGAGUCGCAUCUCUACUGCUCAGGCGCACACUUGCUCGCUUGCUCACUUGAUGUUGGCAGUAAACAGGGUGCGAGAUGGGAGGCUGUAGAGCCUCCACCACCCCACCCUCCUCUCUCCCACCUCCUAGCUGCCCUGGGGCCAGACUCACCUGCUGCAGCAUGAGUGCCUGUUGCUGCUGGAGCAAGGCCUGCAGCUGUGGGGGCGACAGGAUCUGCUGCAUCUGUUGGGGGAAGGCACCGCAUGGCCAGGGCCUGACCUUCUCAUCCUGGGAGGACUGAACUGGAGAUGGACAUGGCCCAGGCAGGGAGACAGCCCAGACACCAUAGGGCUGUGAGUCACGAGAGACACAGCGAGAGAGGAAAUACAAACAGGGGAGUAG